UACGAAGGGGGCUAGCGUUGCUCGGAAUUACCGGGCGUAAAGGGCGCGUAGGCGGAUGUUUUAGUCAGAGGUGAAAGCCCAGGGCUCAACCUUGGAAUUGCCUUUGAUACUGAACAUCUUGAGUACGGGAGAGGUGAGUGGAACUCCGAGUGUAGAGGUGAAAUUCGUAGAUAUUCGGAAGAACACCGGUGGCGAAGGCGACUCACUGGCCCGUUACUGACGCUGAGGCGCGAAAGCGUGGGGAGCAAACAGG
rnacentral:rRNA from 1 species